AUGGCCUGGGCCCCUUUCCUCCUCCUUCUACUCUGCUACUUCUCAGGUUCCCUCUCCCAGCCUGUGCCGACUCAGCCACCCUCCCUCUCUGCCUCUCCUAAAGCAUCGGCCAGACUCACCUGCACCCUGAGCAGCGGUUCUGUUGUUGGUGGCUAUCACAUGUCCUGGUACCAGCAGAAGCCAGGGAGCCCUCCCCGGUAUCUCCUGAGAUUCAAGUCUGACUCAGAUAAGCACCAGGGCUCUGGGGUUUCCAGCCACUUCUCUGGAUCCAAAGAUGCCUCGGCCAAUGCAGGGAUCCCGCACAUCUCUGAGCUGCAGGUGGAGGACGAGGCUGACUAUUACUGUGGUACAUUACAUACCAACAGUGGCAAGUACACAGUGCUCCAGACCCAGGGGGAAGUGACAGAAAACCUCCCCUGUGUUCUCCCUGCCUGGUGCAGACACUGAUGCCCUCCCUGCCUGGGGCUGA